UACGGGGGGAGCAAGCGUUGUUCGGAUUUACUGGGCGUAAAGCGCGCGUAGGCGGUCUUUUAAGUGUAGAGUGAAAUCUCCAGGGCUCAACCCGGAAACUGCUCUGCAUACAGGCAGACUGGAGUGAUGCAGAGGUUUGUGGAAUUCCUGGUGUAACGGUGAAAUGUGUUGAUAUCAGGAGGAACACCCAUGGCGAAGGCAGCAAACUGGGCAUUAACUGACGCUGAGGCGCGAAAGCGUGGGUAGCAAACAGG
rnacentral:rRNA from 1 species